ACCCGCACAAGCGGUGGAGCAUGUGGUUUAAUCGAAGAUACGCGAAAAACCUUACCUGGCCUUGAUAUCCUUCAAAUCCUGUAGAGAUACGGGAGUGCUAGCUUGCUAGAAUGAAGUGACAGGUGCUGCACGGCUGUCGUCAGCUCGUGUCGUGAGAUGUUGGGUUAAGUCCCGCAACGAGCGCAACCCUCGUGUUUUAGUUGCUAACAGUUCGGCUGAGCACUCUAAACAGACUGCCUUCGUAAGGAGGAGGAAGGUGAGGACGACGUCAAGUCAUCAUGGCCCUUAUGGCCAGGGCUACACACGUGCUACAAUGGAUAGGACAAUGAGACGCAAUACCGCGAGGUGGAGCAAAUCUAUAAACCUAUUCUCAGUUCGGAUUGUUCUCUGCAACUCGAGAACAUGAAGCUGGAAUCGCUAGUAAUCGUAGAUCAGCAUUGCUACGGUGAAUACGUUCCCGGGUCUU
rnacentral:rRNA from 1 species